rnacentral:tRNA from 1 species
UUAAUUGAAGCAUAUAAUGCAUUUAACUGUUAAUUAAAUCAAUCGCAAAUAUUUGCGACUUUUAAA